UAUUUAGAGUUUGAAGUCCUCACUCUGGCUGUGGUUCUAGAAGCUACAUUGUAGGGGGGCAGGAGGGCGGGGCGGUAAAGAGUCAGCUGCCAUGAGAAGGUCAUAAUGGGGGUCCUGGGGAGACGUGAGGAGAACAGGAUCACACGAGGGACAGAACAUGGAGGAAAGGUGGGACAGACCACAGGUGGGCUCGGAAAGGGGAAGGAAGUGCUGAAAAGCACUCCUAGGGUUUUGGCCUGAGCCACUGGGUCAGUGUGGGGAAGUCAUUCCUGCGAUGAAGAACAAGGGACACAGAUAUCUUUAAUUCACACAAGAUUAUGAGCCAGCCUGAACUGGAAGAUCAUUUACUAUAAAUAUUGCUGUUGUUCAAAGACUCUUAAAAUCAUGGCAUGUUAGGGCUGCAAGAGACCUUAAGAAAUCAUCCAUCCCGACCCCGUCACUUUACAGAUUCCUCGGAGAUAAAAGGCAAGUUGCUAAAUUCAACACACAAGGCUUCUCUGUCUGCCUCCUACCUGAUCACUCCAGCCUGAGCUCUUCUGUACACAGCCCAUCUUCCCACUCUCCCACAGGGAGGGAGAAGGGAGAAGCAGCUCCCUAAACCUAAAGUUCUCCAGAAAUAUUAGAAGAACCACUGCACAGGGGAGUCUGGCUGGCUCAGUCGGAAGAGCAUGCAACUACUCUUGAUCUUGAGCCCAAUCAUGAGGGGGAAAAAAUUCUGACAAGUUCCAACAGAGGAGCAUCCUACAAAACAUCUAGCCAGCAGUCCUCAAAACUGGCGAGGUCAUCACAAACAAUGAACGUCUGAAAAGCUGUCAUAGCCAAGAAGAACCCAAGGAGACAAAACAACUAAAUGUGAUGUCAUAUCCUGAAUGGGACCCUGGAACAGAAAAAGGACAUCAGAUAAAAAUUAAGGAAAUCUGAAUUAAA